rnacentral:tRNA from 1 species
GGAGGCAUAGCCCAAGUGGUAGAGCACCUGCCUUGCAAGCGUGAAUCUUGGGCUUGAGCCCCAGUACUGCCA